GACGAACGCUGGCGGCGUGCUUAACACAUGCAGGUCGAACGGAAAGGCCCUGCUUUUGUGGGGUGCUCGAGUGGCGAACGGGAGAGUAACACGUGAGUAACCUGCCCUUGACUUUGGGAUAACUUCAGGAAACUGGGGCUAAUACCGGAUAGGAGCUCCUGCUGCAUGGUGGGGGUUGGAAAGUUUCGGCGGUUGGGGAUGGACUCGCGGCUUAUCAGCUUGUUGGUGGGGUAGUGGCUUACCAAGGCUUUGACGGGUAGCCGGCCUGAGAGGGUGACCGGCCACAUUGGGACUGAGAUACGGCCCAGACUCCUACGGGAGGCAGCAGUGGGGAAUAUUGCACAAUGGGCGGAAGCCUGAUGCAGCAACGCCGCGUGCGGGAUGACGGCCUUCGGGUUGUAAACCGCUUUCGCCUGUGACGAAGCGUGAGUGACGGUAAUGGGUAAAGAAGCACCGGCUAACUACGUG
rnacentral:rRNA from 1 species